GACGUAGGGCGCGAGCGUUGUCCGGAUUUAUUGGGCGUAAAGAGCUCGUAGGCGGCUUGUCGCGUCGACUGUGAAAUCCCGCGGCUCAACCGCGGGUCUGCAGUCGAUACGGGCAGGCUAGAGUUCGGUAGGGGAGACUGGAAUUCCUGGUGUAGCGGUGAAAUGCGCAGAUAUCAGGAGGAACACCGGUGGCGAAGGCGGGUCUCUGGGCCGAUACUGACGCUGAGGCACGAAAGCUAGGGGAGCAAACAGG
rnacentral:rRNA from 1 species